AUUGAACGCUGGCGGCAUGCCUUACACAUGCAAGUCGAACGGCAGCACGGGAGCAAUCCUGGUGGCGAGUGGCGAACGGGUGAGUAAUACAUCGGAACGUGCCCUGUCGUGGGGGAUAACUAGUCGAAAGAUUAGCUAAUACCGCAUACGACCUGAGGGUGAAAGCGGGGGACCGCAAGGCCUCGCGCGAUAGGAGCGGCCGAUGUCUGAUUAGCUAGUUGGUGGGGUAAAGGCCCACCAAGGCGACGAUCAGUAGCUGGUCUGAGAGGACGAUCAGCCACACUGGGACUGAGACACGGCCCAGACUCCUACGGGAGGCAGC
rnacentral:rRNA from 1 species